rnacentral:rRNA from 1 species
UACGGAGGAGGCAAGCGUUAUCCGGAAUUAUUGGGCGUAAAGCGUCCGUAGGUGGUUAAUCAAGUCUGCUGUCAAAGCGUGCAGCUUAACUGCAUACCGGCAGUGGAAACUGAUUGACUAGAGUGCGGUAGGGGUAGAGGGAAUUCCCAGUGUAGCGGUGAAAUGCGUAGAUAUUGGGAAGAACACCGGUGGCGAAAGCGCUCUACUGGGCCGCAACUGACACUGAUGGACGAAAGCUAGGGGAGCGAAA